rnacentral:sRNA from 1 species
GGCUGUCGUCAGCUCGUGUCGUGAGAUGUUGGGUUAAGUCCCGCAACGAGCGCAACCCUCGUCCUAUGUUGCCACCAGGUAAUGCUGAGCACUCAUAGGAGACUGCCGGGGUCAACUCGGAGGAAGGUGGGGAUGACGUCAAGUCAUCAUGCCCCUUAUGUCCUGGGCUGCACACAUGCUACAAUGGCCGGUACAAAGGGCUGCGAUACCGCAAGGUGGAGCGAAUCCCAAAAAGCCGGUCUCAGUUCGGAUUGGGGUCUGCAACUCGACCCCAUGAAGUCGGAGUCGCUAGUAAUCGCAGAUCAGCAACGCUGCGGUGAAUACGUUCCCGGGCCUUGUACACACCGCCCGUCACGUCACGAAAGUCGGUAACACCCGAAGCCAGUGGCCCAACCCUUUUGGGAGGGAGCUGUCGAAGGUGGGACCGGCGAUUGGGACGAAGUCGUAACAAGGUAGCCGUACCGGAAGGUGCGGCUGGAUCACCUCCUUUCUAAGGAGCAACUGGCGGCAAGCCUCGUGCUUGUCGUCCAGAGCCAUGCCUGUGCCAUUCAGCGCACAGGAUGGUGCUCAGGAGUGGAACACUGACCAUUCGGCCCGACGCUCUUGCGUCCCAGUUCAGUACGACCUCUUGAGGUUGGAACGAUGGGGUGUUCGAGGGAAGGGCUUAGGCACGCUGUUGAGUCCUGAGGGAGCGAAGCUUCCUUAGGGCGUAUGGACCCGCCGGCUACGGCCGCGGGUCCAUUGCCACGAUCGGACCAUUUCUUCGCUGAACGACGCACUUCUUGUGCGCACGCAGCGGCCUCGAAGUGGGACCGCCCGUAAUUUGAGAACUGCACAGUGGACGCGAGCAUCUUUGUGGCCAAGUUAGUAAGGGCACACGGUGGAUGCCUUGGCACCAGGAGCCGAUGAAGGACGUAGGAGGCUGCGAAAAGCCUCGGGGAGCUGCCAACCAAGCUUUGAUCCGAGGAUUUCCGAAUGGGGAAACCCGG